GCAGAGAGUUAAACGUGCAGGAUGAAGAACCUACGCAGGUUCGACUGAAUCGCCGGGAGCGAUUCAGGCUGAUGUGUCAGCAUCACCCGCAGGGCGAGGCCCCGGGCAUAUCCUGCACGACCCACCA
rnacentral:sRNA from 1 species